rnacentral:ncRNA from 1 species
AUCCGGAGUAUAAGCAGUCAACGCCGCCGGCGUCGGUCAUUGCUCCCUUC